CCGCUUGGAGUGGCUGGAAGGCACUUCAGCGGGCGGCCUGGAGACCUGACUCCAUUUCCGGGGCGUGGCCCCGCCCGGGGUGCUCAGAGGUCGGAGUAUCGCUGGGAGGAGAGUUGGUUCAUUUGGAGGAGGGAAUGCGACUCUGAGCGGGCCAAGCCCUAGUGGGUCAGAGUAGGAUUCUGAUGGAAUUUGCGGUCUCACCGCCUACUAGGGAGGAAAAGCAGUUUUCAGGAGUCCCGCACCGCCGCCAGCCGUGGGCUGGGACUACAAGUCACGGUCUGUGGAGUCCAGGAGUGGGGGCGGGCGGGAGGCAGGCUGGGAGCUGUAGUAGUGUCACCGCCACGUUCGCAGCAGGUAGAUGCUCAUCUUGCUAACGGAUUGGUGAGAGUGGACAGCAAUUAGGCUUUGGCACCUUGGAGCGUGGCUCCAGCUAAGGGAAGCGAAACGCUUCCUGGGUGAGAGGACUUUUAUUCUUUGCUCAUCCUCUUAAACCUGGCGAGUGAGCGCCUGAGGUUCGGAGUGCCUUCUUCACAGACGACGCGAAUGUGGGGUCUUCGUGUUUGCCGAACUGAAGGGAAUUUGCCUUCCUGCCUUUAGAGCUAAGGUCUUGCUCUAUCUCCCAUGCCAAAGUGCAGUGCUAUGAUCACGGCUCGCUGCAGCCUUGAACUCCUGGGCUCAAGGCAUCCUCCUGCCUCACUACGUCACCAAGCCCAGCUAAUACAUUUUAAAAAUUUAUUAUUUAUUUAUUUAUUUAUUUUUGGUAGAGAAGGGGGUCUCACCAGGUUGCCCAGGCUGAUCUCGAAUUCCUGUGCACUAGGGAUCCUCAGCUUCCGAAAGUGUUGGGAUUUUAGGCGUGAGCCACCGCGCCUAGCCUAUAAAUCUUUAUUCAUCUUUGUAAACUUCUAUCAGAGAAUAUAUUCUGGUCUAACUCAUCAUUUUACAAAUAAAGCGACUUCCUGACAUCCCCCAGCGUAUUCUUAGCAGAGCCGUAACUAGAAGUUAUUUUACUUUCACAACAGUGGCCUCUCACAAUGUGACAGAACUGAAGGAUUUGAUCCAUGAACUGACUUUCGUCAUUUAUACCCACAAACCUUUUUUUACAGAGCAGAUUGGUCAGCGAAUUUGGUUAUAAUAGGAAAUAUCAGUGGUAGAAUACUUUCUCAGAUGAAAGUUAGGAGCACUAUGGAAUUUAGUGAAAAACUCAUUGAAGAAAAUAGGUGUAGGCCGGGCGCGGUGGCUCACGCCUGUAAUCCCAGCACUUUGGGAGGCCGAGAUGGGAGGAUCACCUGAACCCGGGAGGCGGAGGUUGCAGUGAGCUGUGAUCACACCAUUGCACCCCAACCUGGGCGACGGGAGUGAGGCCCUGUCUCAAAAAAAAAAAAAAGAAAAGAAAAUAGGUGUAACAGGAUAUAGUUUAUUUACUUCUUCAAAAAAAGGAAAAUAUUUCUGUUAAAAUAAUCCAACUAAUACAUCCACUCCAGAAAUAUGCACUUCAGACCAGGUGCAGUGGCUCACACCUGUAAUCCUAGCACUUCGGGAGGCCGAGUUGGGUGGAUCACUUGAGGUCAGGAGUUCGAGACCAACCUGGCCGAUAUGGUGAAACCCUGUCUCUGCUAAAAAUACAAAGCCGGGUGUGGUGGUGCACGCCUGUAGUCCCAGGUACUCCAGAGGCUGAGGCAGAAGAAUCGCCUGAACCUGAGAGGCGGAGAUUGCAGUGAGCCGAGGUCGUGCCACCACACUCCAGCCUGGGUGAAAGAGCGAGAGUCUGUCUCAAAAAAUAAAAAUAAAAAGGCCAGGCGCGAUGGUUCACACCUGUAAUCCCAACCCUUUGGGAGGCCGAGGCGGGCGGAUCACCUGAGGUCAGGAGUUCAAGACCAGCCUGGCCAAUAUGGUGAAACCAACCCCGUCUUUACUAAAAAUACAAAAAAUUAGCCGGGCGUGGUGACGCAUGCCUGUAAUCCCAGCUAGUCAGGAGGCUGAGGCAGGAGAAUUGCUUGAACCCAGGAGGCGGAGGUUGCAUUGAGCGAGAUCACGCCAUUGCACUCCAGCCUGGGCAACAAGAGCGAAACUCUGUCUCUAAAAAAAAAAAAGAGCCUCCCUGCCUGAUUCUCCUGCCUCCGCCUGCGGAGUGCCUGCAAUUGCAGGCGCGCGCCGCCACGCCUGACUGGUUUUCGUAUUUUUUUGGUGGAAACGGGGUUUCGCUGUGUUGGCCGGGCUGGUCUCCAGCUCCUAACCGCGAGUGAUCCGC
rnacentral:lncRNA from 1 species